AUUGAACGCUGGCGGCAUGCCUUACACAUGCAAGUCGAACGGUAACGCGGGGCAACCUGGCGACGAGUGGCGAACGGGUGAGUAAUGUAUCGGAACGUGCCCAGUUGUGGGGGAUAACUACUCGAAAGAGUGGCUAAUACCGCAUACGACCUGAGGGUGAAAGCGGGGGAUCGCAAGACCUCGCGCAAUUGGAGCGGCCGAUAUCAGAUUAGGUAGUUGGUGGGGUAAAGGCUCACCAAGCCAACGAUCUGUAGCUGGUCUGAGAGGACGACCAGCCACACUGGGACUGAGACACGGCCCAGACUCCUGCGGGAGGCAGCAGUGGGGAAUUUUGGACAAUGGACGCAAGUCUGAUCCAGCCAUGCCGCGUGCGGGAAGAAGGCCUUCGGGUUGUAAACCGCUUUUGUCAGGGAAGAAACGCUCUGGGUUAAUACCUCGGGGUAAUGACGGUACCUGAAGAAUAAGCACCGGCUAACUACGUGCCAGCCGCCGCGGUAAAAC
rnacentral:rRNA from 1 species